UCUCCGUUGGUGAACCAGCGGAGGGAUCAUUACAGGACUCGCAAGACUCCUACAACCCUGUGAACUUAACUAUAAGCACGUUGCUUCGGCGGGUGUCUCGGAGGGGGUUCUCCCUCCCCGAGACGCUUAACCCGCCGGCAGCCUACUAUACUCUGUCUCUUUGCGUUGGCAUCUCGAGUACAAUCAAACAAGUUAAAACUUUCAACAACGGAUCUCUUGGUUCUG
rnacentral:misc_RNA from 1 species